rnacentral:misc_RNA from 1 species
GGUGAGGGUACCUGCACCUCGGAUGGGAAAUACUGAAAUCCCACCUGAGGAUGGCUACACUUGGAGGAAAUAUGGCCAGAAAGAAAUACUAGGGUCAAGGUUUCCAAGGGGUUACUACAGGUGCACACACCAAAAAUUGUACCAAUGUCCAGCCAAGAAACAAGUUCAGAGACUAGAUGAUGAUCCCUACAUGUUUGAAGUUACGUACAGGAGUGAUCACACUUGCCACAUGUCUGCUACUG